GUGAGUCCGUCGCGAGUGCGUGUUGGGUAAGGCCUGUUGGAAACUGACUGUGGAUUGUGUUUCGUAAGAUCUGUGAUGAUAGAAAACCGAUUAAGGAAUUCUGCCGCCGCCUUACCCUCUGUAGGCUCCUGAGAUUCAUUUGGAUAAGGAGCAUAACGAUACAAUACGAGUUGUAGAUGAAAACCUUUGGCAAAGUCAUCUAUAUCAAAAGGUUUUCCAUCUUCCACACGUCUGGCAUUGUUAGCAACCAGCCUCCGUAUCUUUUUCUCAAUAUCCUGAGCGUCCAAACUUGCAGAGGUCCCUUCCGUGCAACUUUAUGCAACGAGAAAGCGCAGCACCUAUCAAGGAGACUUCGUUGCAAUCCGUUACUUGACUUUCCUUGAUCGCUUUCCGAGAUAGAAGAUUGUGGAAGCGAAAAAUACUGUCUAGAAAUCUUAGCGUGUAAAAUAAGUUCCAUUAUAAUAAACAAUAUAGGAGUGUG